AACCGAGUCGCGUGAACCGCAAAUCAGCGAACAAGCGUCAGCGAUAUUAAGCUCUUGCGCACGAAUCGCCCAUUGAAUUUAGGACUUGCUCCAGAUUCGGGAAAUGUGGCAAUUAAGGUUCCGAAAUUACGAAUUGCGCCAGGCAAGGAUCUGGGGCUAUAUAAACCCGUGGUCACGACCACGGAGAGCUCUUUGUGUAUUAUUAUUUUAGCAGUCAAUACUCUGUAGUCGCGGACGGAUUAAUUUCUCGCGUUAGUCUCAUUUAGGUAUCAUGUAUCGUAUCUCCAGCUGAGUAAAGAGUUCGCGUAAGUGAGAACAUAUGCACUAAAGAUAGAGUCACCGCGGAGAUACCUGCGAAAGUCCGACGUUUAUUAUUCACCAAUUAUUAGAGUCCCGUGUCGCGAGUGUACAACCAGACCAGAUCCUCGCCACAGCCGAUCCCGGGACAACUUGACAACGCCGCCGAUAGCAUAAGAUCAACGAUUGAUUUUUGGAAGUGGUGGAACAAAGUGGAAAAAUCAAAAACCGAUAUUUGUUUAAGGAUCGGAAAAAAUUAAAUCUUGUGGUUUCCGUCGUCUUGGAUGAGCGUGUCGAUAAGGUUGGCGACAAAUUCAGGUAUUUUUAAUGAUGCAUGAUGAUUUCUAUACGUUCAAUGAUUAAAAUUCAAUUACAUAUCUCGCUAAGCGUUAAAACCAAGGAGAUUUUCGAAAUGUUAAAUCUCCAAGAUAGAUCGAAUUUUGUCUCGUGUGGUGUUCGUUUCUCCUAAGGCGACAAGCCUAUCGCAUCCAAACUGCAAGCGGGACCGAAGAGACGGUUUACGGCGGUAAAGAGUAGUUGUCCGUGUGGGCUUCGUGUUGGUAACGAGCGGAUUAUACUCUCGGCAUGGUAUCAGAUGGUCCCGUACCUGGUUCCAUGGUUGUUAAUUAGGAUGGAUGCCCACGCCUUGGGCGACUUUUACGAGCGGAUACGGCGCGAACCGAAAUAGCGCAUCCGACGUUAACGCGCCGACCUUCCUUCGAAGAACCGUGGGAAUGGAGAAACUAAAUCAAGAUACGUACAAACGAAUUCCGAUAACCGUACAAUGUUCUGGCCUUCUGGAAUGCUACAUGAAGUAUUCACGUGUUUGAAUAAAUAGUUGAUCGAAAAUGAUUAUAUAAAUUAAUAAAAAGGUUUCAUAUUUUGUCAAUUUUAUAACGCUUAACGAUUAAAUAUAUUUCAUUUCUUUUGUGAACAUAUACUUGCUUUAUGACAAUGAAAUUGAUCGAUCGAAACGAAUCUCUCGUUGUAAUAUAUUUAUGUUGGA